UACGUAGGGUGCAAGCGUUAAUCGGAAUUACUGGGCGUAAAGCGUGCGCAGGCGGUUGUGCAAGUCUGAUGUGAAAGCCCCGGGCUCAACCUGGGAACGGCAUUGGAGACUGCACGGCUAGAGUGCGUCAGAGGGGGGUAGAAUUCCACGUGUAGCAGUGAAAUGCGUAGAGAUGUGGAGGAAUACCGAUGGCGAAGGCAGCCCCCUGGGCUGACACUGACGCUCAGGCACGAAAGCGUGGGGAGCAAAC
rnacentral:rRNA from 1 species